AGAUGGAAGUCCCCAAUGUUGUGGGAACCAGCAGUCAGAGGAGAGCAGGGGUCACGGUCAGCAUGUCAGAAGCGGGCAGGAGUCAAGGUGACAGAGGAAACAGCAGGUCAGAGACUAGCAUGUGCUGCACGCAUCAAUGCACGCAAUGAAGGCAAGUGGAUUUGAGCACGACUCCACCAGUACGCUCAGCGCGUCGGAUGAGGGAGCCACCGCUCCGCCGAGCACGUGUCUGCCCAUGGGACCCGCAGGCAGGCCGGGCGGUGUUGUGGGGUAGAGCUGGGACCUUUUCCACGAAAAAAGUCCCAAACACUUGACACGACAUCCAUGAAAUAAAAAGUCCCGAAGUUUCUUCGACUGGACUACUGUAACGCACUACUCAUCGGGAUCCCUAGCAAGAGCCUGCAGAGGCUCCAAUACAUACAAAACUCUGCAGCUAGGAUCCUGAUGAGAGUGCGCAAGCAUGAGCACAUUACCCCCAUCCUCCACUCACUCCACUGGCUUCCGGUUUCCACCAGGAUUGAGUUCAAGGUUUCCCUCCUCACUCACCAAAGUAUCCAUGGACAUGUCCCCCAACCCCCUACCUCAAAGAACUUAUCAACCAAGAUACCACAACACGCUCCCUCUGCUCCACUCACUCUAACCUCCUCCACAUACCCAGAACCAAACUUAGGACCAUGGGCGAUAUAGGGCCUUCAGUGCUGCCGCCCCACGCCUGUGGAAUGCCCUCCCUGACACCUUGAGGGCACCACAAUCCACUGAUUGUUUUAAAAAAGGUCUCAAAACAUUUAUUUUUAAGAAAACCUUUGGCUCCCACUCUUAGAUGCUUUUAAAC
ensembl:lncRNA